AGUGAACGCUGGCGGUAGGCCUAACACAUGCAAGUCGAACGGCAGCACAGUAAGAGCUUGCUCUUACGGGUGGCGAGUGGCGGACGGGUGAGGAAUACAUCGGAAUCUACUUUUUCGUGGGUGAUAACGUAGGGAAACUUACGCUAAUACCGCAUACGACCUACGGGUGAAAGCAGGGGAUCUUCGGACCUUGCGCGAUUGAAUGAGCCGAUGUCGGAUUAGCUAGUUGGCGGGGUAAAGGCCCACCAAGGCGACGAUCCGUAGCUGGUCUGAGAGGAUGAUCAGCCACACUGGAACUGAGACACGGUCCAGACUCCUACGGGAGGCAGCAGUAGGGAAUAUUGGACAAUGGGCGCAAGCCUGAUCCAGCCAUACCGCGUGGGUGAAGAAGGCCUUCGGGUUGUAAAGCCCUUUUGUUGGGAAAGAAAAGCAGCAGGUUAAUACCCCGCUGUUCUGACGGUACCCAAAGAAUAAGCACCGGCUAACUUCGUG
rnacentral:rRNA from 1 species